AUUGAACGCUGGCGGCAGGCCUAACACAUGCAAGUCGAGCGGAUGAAGGGAGCUUGCUCCUGGAUUCAGCGGCGGACGGGUGAGUAAUGCCUAGGAAUCUGCCUGGUAGUGGGGGAUAACGUCCGGAAACGGGCGCUAAUACCGCAUACGUCCUGAGGGAGAAAGUGGGGGAUCUUCGGACCUCACGCUAUCAGAUGAGCCUAGGUCGGAUUAGCUAGUUGGUGGGGUAAAGGCCUACCAAGGCGACGAUCCGUAACUGGUCUGAGAGGAUGAUCAGUCACACUGGAGCUGAGACACGAUCCAGAGUCCUACGGGAGGCAGCAGUGGGGACUAUUGGACGAUGGGCGAAAGCCUGAUCCAGCCAUGCAGCGUGUGUGAAGAAGGGCUUCGGAUUGUAAAGCACUUUAAGUUGGGAGGAAGGGCAGUAAGUUAAAACCUUGCUGUUUGGACGUUACCAACAGAAUAAGCACCGGCUAACUUCGU
rnacentral:rRNA from 1 species